GGAAUCUAGCUCCAGCAAAAUUAUUGGGAGGCCUUCAGUAUUUUUCAAGUAAAAUGAGCAAAGAAGAUAGGAAGGUGGAGCUCUUAUCAAACAGUGAGAGGGACGAAAAGAGAUGCAUCUUCAGUUGCUUUGAAUUUAUGAAUUUAUAUAUCUUGGCUUGUUGAUUCUUAUGUCCUUUGAAGUUUUACUAUGCAUCUAUUUAUAUUUUAAGAGCAAAAUUGCCUUAGUGUUGCUUGAUAUAUGUUGAUCAACUGAAUUGAACAUUGAUUGUUAAGUUUCCUAGUCAAAGUAAAAUAUUUUUCUUGUUU